rnacentral:rRNA from 1 species
CCCUUAGAUGUUCUGGGCCGCACACGCGCUACACUGAAGGAGGCAGCGUGUACUCCUGGAUCGAAAGAUUUGGGUAACCCGCGAAUCUCCUUCGUGCUAGGGAUUGAGGUUUGCAAUUAUCCUUCAUGAACGAGGAAUUCCCAGUAAGUGCAAGUCAUAAGCUUGCGCUGACUACGUCCCUGCCCUUUGUACACACCGCCCGUCGCUACUACCGAUUGAAUGAUUUAGUGAGGACUUCGGACUGGGACCGAUGCGGCUUUCGAGCUGCGUCGGUAUUCUGGAAAGAUGUCCAAACUGUAUCAUUUAGAGGAAGUAAAAGUCGUANCA